rnacentral:piRNA from 1 species
UGCAGAUGAUAUAAUAGUAUAUAUACGUGACCC